rnacentral:rRNA from 1 species
AGUAGGGAAUCUUCCGCAAUGGACGAAAGUCUGACGGAGCAACGCCGCGUGAGUGAAGAAGGUUUUCGGAUCGUAAAACUCUGUUGUCAGAGAAGAACAAGUCGGAGAGUAACUGCUCCGGCCUUGACGGUAUCUGACCAGAAAGCCACGGCUAACUACGUGCCAGCAGCCGCGGUAAUACGUAGGUGGCAAGCGUUGUCCGGAUUUAUUGGGCGUAAAGCGAGCGCAGGCGGUUCCUUAAGUCUGAUGUGAAAGCCCACGGCUCAACCGUGGAAGGUCAUUGGAAACUGGGGAACUUGAGUGCAGAAGAGGAGAGUGGAAUUCCAUGUGUAGCGGUGAAAUGCGUAGAUAUAUGGAGGAACACCAGUGGCGAAGGCGACUCUCUGGUCUGUAACUGACGCUGAGGCUCGAAAGCGUGGGGAGCAAACAGGAUUAGAUACCCUGGUAGUCCACGCCGUAAACGAUGAGUGCUAAGUGUUGGAGGGUUUCCACCCUUCAGUGCUGCAGCUAACGCAUUAAGCACUCCGCCUGGGGAGUACGGCCGCAAGGCUG